rnacentral:rRNA from 1 species
AGCUUGCUCUCUGAUUCAGCGGCGGACGGGUGAGUAAUGCCUAGGAAUCUGCCUAGUAGUGGGGGACAACGUUUCGAAAGGAACGCUAAUACCGCAUACGUCCUACGGGAGAAAGUGGGGGAUCUUCGGACCUCACGCUAUUAGAUGAGCCUAGGUCGGAUUAGCUAGUUGGUAGGGUAACGGCCUACCAAGGCGACGAUCCGUAACUGGUCUGAGAGGAUGAUCAGUCACACUGGAACUGAGACACGGUCCAGACUCCUACGGGAGGCAGCAGUGGGGAAUAUUGGACAAUGGGCGAAAGCCUGAUCCAGCCAUGCCGCGUGUGUGAAGAAGGCCCUCGGGUCGUAAAGCACUUUAAGUUGGGAGGAAGGGCUCAUAGCGAAUACCUGUGAGUUUUGACGUUACCAACAGAAUAAGCACCGGCUAACUUCGUGCCAGCAGCCGCGGUAAUACGAAGGGUGCAAGCGUUAAUCGGAAUUACUGGGCGUAAAGCGCGCGUAGGUGGCUUGAUAAGUUGGAUGUGAAAUCCCCGGGCUCAACCUGGGAACUGCAUCCAAAACUGUCUGGCUAGAGUGUGGUAGAGGGUAGUGGAAUUUCCAGUGUAGCGGUGAAAUGCGUAGAUAUUGGAAGGAACACCAGUGGCGAAGGCGACUACCUGGACUAACACUGACACUGAGGUGCGAAAGCGUGGGGAGCAAACAGGAUUAGAUACCCUGGUAGUCCACGCCGUAAACGAUGUCAACUAGCCGUUGGGAUCCUUGAGAUCUUAGUGGCGCAGCUAACGCAUUAAGUUGACCGCCUGGGGAGUACGGCCGCAAGGUUAAAACUC